rnacentral:rRNA from 1 species
UUGAAAGGGAAACGAUUGAAGUCAGUCGUACCGACGAAAAAUCAGCUCUUUGAGUGCGGACUUGUGGGUUUACGUGAGCUUUACGGCCUCGCUGUUUGCAACGUUCGUUCUUUUUGGGUGUACUUUUUCGUAUGGUAGGCCAAUAUCAGUUUCGAUCGCUAUAAAAUGACCGGCGGAAUGUAGCUUCGAUCUCGUAUUGAAGUGUUAUAGCCUCUGGUAGAUGUGGUGAUUGGGACUGAGGAUUGCAACGAAUACCUUUUUGGGCUAUCCGUCUGAUCUCUGAAAGUUGCUUAGGUGCCGAAAGCGUGCUUACGGUUAUUUAAGUUGACGGUCAAAAGGUUAGAACGUGAUUAUAUUCGUUAAGGAUGUUGACGUA